rnacentral:rRNA from 1 species
UACGGGGGGGGCAAGCGUUGUUCGGAAUUACUGGGCGUAAAGGGCUCGUAGGCGGCCAACUAAGUCAGACGUGAAAUCCCUCGGCUUAACCGGGGAACUGCGUCUGAUACUGGAUGGCUUGAGGUUGGGAGAGGAAAGCGGAAUUCCUGGUGUAGAGGUGAAAUUCGUAGAUAUCAGGAGGAACACCAGUGGCGAAGGCGGCUUUCUGGACGGUAACUGACGCUGAGACGCGAAAGCGUGGGGAGCAAACAGG